rnacentral:lncRNA from 1 species
AUUUGGGGGGGGGGGGGGUUGGUAUAAGUUGAGUAUGGGCUCGAAUCUUCAAAUGAAGAUUCGAGAAGGUGCAAUUUGAUUCGAGGUUAGGGAGUAGGAGAUUUGGGUUUAGGGAGUGAAAGAGGUUCUCUGGGAUCAAGAUGGUGGUCGACGACGUAGUUGCCGCCGAUUUUAUGGUGGAUGGAAUCUAUGGAGGCUAGGGUUUGGAGGGGGUUCCGUCUUAGAGGUUUGAGAGAGAUGGAGUGAGAUGGGGUGGGGUUGGCUAUGAGGGUGUGAGGUGUGAGAGGAGGCUUUUAUACGGGAUAAAUGAGUUGAUCCUGGCCGUUGAUCAAGAGUAAUCAAUGGUCAGGAUCCCUUCCUAAGGGGAAAUCGGCAUCGUUCACUUAAGUGAAGACUGGGUCGGUUCGUUGGUUAAAUGGGUC